rnacentral:rRNA from 1 species
AGAGUUUGAUCCUGGCUCAGAUUGAACGCUGGCGGCAGGCCUAACACAUGCAAGUCGAGCGGUAGCACAGAGAGCUUGCUCUCGGGUGACGAGCGGCGGACGGGUGAGUAAUGUCUGGGAAACUGCCUGAUGGAGGGGGAUAACUACUGGAAACGGUAGCUAAUACCGCAUAACGUCGCAAGACCAAAGUGGGGGACCUUCGGGCCUCAUGCCAUCAGAUGUGCCCAGAUGGGGUUAGCUGGUAGGUGGGGUAACGGCUCACCUAGGCGACGAUCCCUAGCUGGUCUGAGAGGAUGACCAGCCACACUGGAACUGAGACACGGUCCAGACUCCUACGGGAGGCAGCAGUGGGGAAUAUUGCACAAUGGGCGCAAGCCUGAUGCAGCCAUGCCGCGUGUGUGAAGAAGGCCUUCGGGUUGUAAAGCACUUUCAGCGGGGAGGAAGGCGGUGAGGUUAAUAACCUCACCGAUUGACGUUACCCGCAGAAGAAGCACCGGCUAACUCCGUGCCAGCAGCCGCGGUAAUACGGAGGGUGCAAGCGUUAAUCGGAAUUACUGGGCGUAAAGCGCACGCAGGCGGUCUGUCAAGUCGGAUGUGAAAUCCCCGGGCUCAACCUGGGAACUGCAUUCGAAACUGGCAGGCUAGAGUCUUGUAGAGGGGGGUAGAAUUCCAGGUGUAGCGGUGAAAUGCGUAGAGAUCUGGAGGAAUACCGGUGGCGAAGGCGGCCCCCUGGACAAAGACUGACGCUCAGGUGCGAAAGCGUGGGGAGCAAACAGGAUUAGAUACCCUGGUAGUCCACGCUGUAAACGAUGUCGAUUUGGAGGUUGUGCCCUUGAGGCGUGGCUUCCGGAGCUAACGCGUUAAAUCGACCGCCUGGGGAGUACGGCCGCAAGGUUAAAACUCAAAUGAAUUGACGGGGGCCCGCACAAGCGGUGGAGCAUGUGGUUUAAUUCGAUGCAACGCGAAGAACCUUACCUGGUCUUGACAUCCACAGAACUUUCCAGAGAUGGAUUGGUGCCUUCGGGAACUGUGAGACAGGUGCUGCAUGGCUGUCGUCAGCUCGUGUUGUGAAAUGUUGGGUUAAGUCCCGCAACGAGCGCAACCCUUAUCCUUUGUUGCCAGCGGUCCGGCCGGGAACUCAAAGGAGACUGCCAGUGAUAAACUGGAGGAAGGUGGGGAUGACGUCAAGUCAUCAUGGCCCUUACGACCAGGGCUACACACGUGCUACAAUGGCAUAUACAAAGAGAAGCGACCUCGCGAGAGCAAGCGGACCUCAUAAAGUAUGUCGUAGUCCGGAUUGGAGUCUGCAACUCGACUCCAUGAAGUCGGAAUCGCUAGUAAUCGUAGAUCAGAAUGCUACGGUGAAUACGUUCCCGGGCCUUGUACACACCGCCCGUCACACCAUGGGAGUGGGUUGCAAAAGAAGUAGGUAGCUUAACCUUCGGGAGGGCGCUUACCACUUUGUGAUUCAUGACUGGGGUGAAGUCGUAACAAGGUAGCCGU